rnacentral:rRNA from 1 species
CUACCUUUUGCAUAAGNGUUUGACUAAUAGGGUUUUAAAUAAUAGUGUCCGAAGUGAGUUGACCUAUUUGAAUUGCAUCUUAGUCUCUAACUGCAGGUUGUAGCAGAAACCAAUAAAAAGUUUAAAAUAGGAGCGAAAAGCUCACAAAUCUCACGAUAUCUGGAUAUUGGGUAAAUGUAUUUAGUACAGUAGACAAGAUAGAAUUGUUUAGAAUUUUAUCGAUCAGAAAAUAUCUUAUUUAGACCAAGCAAUUGGGUUAAUGCUCAAUAUAUAAUAUAUAGCAAAGCAUAAAUCUAGAAAAAGUAUUCUGUAGAUCACCCAUAUCAUCACAAUCAACUACCAUUUUAGUUUCGUGAUGGAUAAUGUUAAAAUUAGUAUAAUCUUUAAAAAUCUUUUAUUGAACUCGGCAAAGUCGUGGUCAACUGUUUAUCAAAAACAUAUCCUGAAGUAUUAUAUUUUAGGUGUUUUCUGCCCGGUGCUAUUGUUAACGGCCGCAGUACCUUGACUGUGCUAAGGUAGCAUAAUCAAUUGGCUAUUAAUUGUAGUCUAGUAUGAAAGAAUAAAUGACUAUGAACUAUAAUAAAAGAUUUUAUUACAACUUAUUCAAAGGGUGAAAAUACCCUUUUAAAGAAAAAAGACGAGAAGACCCUUAGAGCUUUAAUAAAAUGUUAUAAUGUAACUUUUUUUUUAUUGGGGCGAUACGAAAACAAGUUAAACUUUUCUAAAGACAAGCUACCACGCCGAAUAUUAUUAUGAAUGAGAAAGCUACCUUAGGGAUAACAGCAUAAUGAUAUUAUUUAGUUUGNGANNUCGAUNUUGGGUUAGGAANNUUUUACANNAGCAGCNUUAGAAGAGCGUNCUGUUCGAANAAUAGAAAGUCUNCNNNCUACAUGAUCUGAGUUCAGACCGUCGUAAGACAGGNCAGUUUCUAUCUUUUUAGUUAUUUAUCGNNGAGUUCAGACCGUCGUAAGACAGGUCAGUUUCUAUCUUUUUAGUUAUUUAUCGUAGUACGAAAGGACCCGAUAAUCUGUAGGUUUACAAUGUUAUUUUGGCAGAAUUAAUGCAUUUGAUUUAGGGUCAUAAGA